UCGGUUUUCGAUUCCAAAUCCUGAAGAGCCCGCUUCCACCUAGGCCUCCCUCUUCUAACCCGACCGUUCCUGAGAGUUCGCUAUCACAUACUGCUUUUACCUGUGUUGCUGAAUCCCGAUCCAAGAGACUGGCAGAUGGUUUAAGUAGCUGGUUCCGGAGGCAGAAGCUAACAGGUGCAGCUGGGGAGCGCUUGAAGGAAGCACGCAAUAUCAACCGAUCACUCUCACAACUCGGAUCGGAAUGAUGUUGCUCAUCUGAAAGAAGGCACAUCAUGUGCUUGAAGACUUGUGGAGUAUGGAGAGUGAAUGGUCAAAUUUGAGGAAUCGUAUCUGCUGGCUUUGUAGUCCAAACAGGAACAAGGAUGAAUAAUAAUCAAUGAAAAGGUUUAUCCAUGCAAGCUUCAAAC